rnacentral:lncRNA from 1 species
CUUCAUGAUCCUGACAUACCUAGGAGGCUUCCCACCUGAAGAGAAUCAUCCUAGAGAGGCAGAAUCUACCAGGGAUCUGUUCCCCUCAUGGCGGAGAUUGGAGUCAAUGGAAACACAGGAAGCUAUGAUGAGCACAGUGACAUGAGCAUGGACGUUUAAUGAACAGAGUCUUCAUCGCCUGGUGGGGCAGGGAGGCGUUUGCACCAGCUUGGCUUAUGCUGCCUGUGGUGUGGCAUUCUAGGCAUUAUCUGGAGACGUUUAACGGCCUUCUGUAUACAUCACUGCUACUUGUGUGACCAUCUGCAAUCCAAGGAACUUAAAUCAUGAAAUCACAGACUCUCAGACCUGGAAGGACUCUG